rnacentral:lncRNA from 1 species
CAAAAUGCAUUAGACUUUUUCGUUCCCUCCUUCCCCCCGAAAUCCCAAAAUUUGACAAGAAAUCUUUCUUUUUUUUCCCUCCUUUCUUUUCCCAAAAUCGGUUCCCUCCCCCAUCCCCAAAGAAAUCCUAAAAUUUCACUUGAAAUUUCUUCUCUUUUUUUCCCCAAAUUAUUUUUCCCAAACCAUUUCUCCCCUACCCCGAUUCCCUUUAUUUUUUCCCCCAAUUUCCUCAAAUCGGCAGCCCUCUGCAUCUCCGUCGGUAGCCCGCUGCUGUAUCUCUGUCGCAUCUGCUGUCAGUAGCCCUCUCUCUCUUUGUUUACUAUCACUGUUUUUACUAGUAAUUGCUAAUCUUUCAUUUUUAUUCUUCCUGUAAUAAUUUUGAAGGUUUAAUUGGGUUAGAUCAUUGAUUAAUUGCUGGUGACAUUUUUUUUUUGUUAUAUUGCUCAACAGUUGUUGACUUCUUGUAGAAUUUUCCUUGCUUAUUUGGUUAUUUGAUAAAAUAGAAUUAGGCUUCUUGAAUACUUUAGCUAGUAUUUUCAGUUGAAAUUUUGUUAAAUCUUUUUAUUUUUUAUAAUUGUUCUUUAUUUUCCAGCUUUUUCUAGAUGUUUCUCUGGUUAUACAUUUAUACACACACAUAUAUAUAAGCUUUUCCUUUUUAAUUCUCUGUUUUUUUUCCUUGCCGUAUUUCUUUGCUUUAUCUACUUUAGAAAGUCAAAUAUUUUUCCUUUAGCCCUUUAAGAUUUUUGGUUUUAAGCCGAAAAAUUACAUGAAAAAGAUACUAGUAGAAGUUUUAUCAUGAAGCUUUAGCAAUUUAAAGCUUCCUCAACUUGAGUAAAUGAAGAUCUGUAAUAAUAAUGAGAUUUUCUAUAAGCACAUAUCACCUGAUUUUGUAAUUCUGGGUUUUUGUUCUUUGAAUAUUGUUAAAAUUAACUUUGAAAUCUUAUAUUUUUUCUGUUUAUUAAAAAUAUAUUUAUAUUGAAAUUGAACUUUUCUGUUGUUUACUAAUCACGUUGAACAAUAUCUCUCCCUCAUCUUCUUGAUUUUUUCUUCUUAGAGAAUCUUGUUGAAGAACAAUACUGGACAAACUUCUGUAUUGGAUUCAUUAUGAAAAUCAUUUGUGUCAUUUACUACUAAUAUUUAUACAUCAACCACAUUUUCUUGUGAACAUGCAAAAUAGAAUUUCUAUUAUUAUUAUUGAAUAUAUUUUUUAUGCAUGUGUGGAAGUGAUUCCUUGUUAAUUGUUAUUCUAUAUCCAAAAUGUCGGUCCUAUCAAUUCUCUUGCAUUCUGCAUCCUAGUUAAGUUCAUCUGAUAAAUGCUACAGACAACUGAUUUUUUUCAUCUUUGAACCACUCUCUGUUUAGGAGGAAAAAAAAUGAUGUAACGGAUUGAGCCAUGUUCAAUCUUGUUUCACGCUAAGCGCUUAUAUCCGACAUAUAUUUGGACCAUGAUUUUGAACCAACCAAUAUGCCAAGAACUGAUGAGUCAAUAAACUUCGAAAUUCCUUUUCUGUCGAUUUAUUCCUUGCCUAUAGAAUGAUGCAAUUGCAGGAUGCUCUCGAAUUUGAUUCCCAUUAGCUUGUUGCUCUAUGCAAGCAUUACAGUUGCAAAGGAAUAAUUGAAUUAUAUUCUUUAUACUUCCAAAUUAACACCCUAAACCAUUAUGUUAUUUAGACUUUAUUUUUCCUAAAGUACUUGUAUCAGACAUAUAUUUGAAAAUAAAUAUGGGGCAUUGUAAACUUUGAAAAAAUUGAAAGCUCAUAGAUGGACCUUCAAUCUUUUCAAGUAAUGGGCCAUUUCGAUUGGGCCAAAUUAUAUGUUUGUAAUUUUGUACUGGACUUGGACUUUGUUUUCUUUUUUUUGAACUUAUUUCUGGGCCCGGGCAAAAUUGAGUGUCUACAUCUGUUCCUUUCAAUUUUAAUUUCGUUUGUUCUUGCUUCUUCUGUUUUAUGCAAUUUUUAUUUAUCGUUCCAUCAAAAGAGAUUGCUCUUGUGUGUUUCGUGUUACUGGGUGUGAGUCAGAAUUGUCUUGUGGAGGGUAAACGAUUAAUCCUUGUUGUUGCAAUUCCGAUUUAAGGUGUGUUUUCGAAACUGAUGAUUUUAAGUGUUGAGUUAUUGAGGGAUUGCAUGAUAUUCUGCCAUUUCAGUAUGUUUCCAGAUUUCCAAGGGAUGGGAUCGUUUCGGUGUCAAAAACACAAAUUUCAGGUUGCUUCGGUGUGGUUUUGUGACUACACGGGUAGCCACACAGGCGUGUGGAAUUGGGAAUUAGGGUUUUUGGGUGAAUUUUGGUGCCACAUGGGCAUGUGUACCCACACGGGCGUGUAAGAUCUCCACACGGCUGUGUCGCCUCUACUCUUUAUUUUUGGCAUUUUUGGAUAGUGAGUUACACGGGCUGUUCACACGGGCAUGUGUCCCCUCCACACGAGAGUGUGUGGCCUUCAUAUGGGCGUGUAGACGCCCACACGGCAUGGGCACUUC